CCUUCGGGUUGUAAAGCACUUUCAGUCAGGAGGAAAGGGUGUGAGUUAAUACCUCAUAUCUGUGACGUUACUGACAGAAGAAGCACCGGCUAACUCCGUGCCAGCAGCCGCGGUAAUACGGAGGGUGCGAGCGUUAAUCGGAAUUACUGGGCGUAAAGCGUACGCAGGCGGUUUGUUAAGCGAGAUGUGAAAGCCCCGGGCUCAACCUGGGAACUGCAUUUCGAACUGGCAAACUAGAGUGUGAUAGAGGGUGGUAGAAUUUCAGGUGUAGCGGUGAAAUGCGUAGAGAUCUGAAGGAAUACCGAUGGCGAAGGCAGCCACCUGGGUCAACACUGACGCUCAUGUACGAAAGCGUGGGG
rnacentral:rRNA from 1 species